AGCAGCCGCGGUAAUUCCAGCUCCAAUAGCGUAUAUUAAAGUUGUUGCAGUUAAAAGCUCGUAGUUGAAUUUCGGGAUCAAUAUGUUGGUCGUGCCUCGGUACGUACUAGCUUAUUGGUUUCUCCUUUCUGAAGAACCAUGAUGUCAUUUAUUUGGUGUCGUGGGGAAUCAGGACUGUUACUUUGAAAAAUUAGAGUGUUUAAAGCAGGCUCACGCUUGAAUACAUUAGCAUGGAAUAAUGAAAUAGGACGUUUGAUUCUAUUUUGUUGGUUUCUAGGAUCGACGUAAUGAUUAAUAGGGAUAGUUGGGGGCAUUAGUAUUCAAUUGUCAGAGGUGAAAUUCUUGGAUUUAUUGAAGACUAACUACUGCGAAAGCAUUUGCCAAGGAUGUUUUCAUUAAUCA
rnacentral:rRNA from 1 species